AACGAACGCUGGCGGCAUGCCUAGCACAUGCAAGUCGAACGAGAUCUUCGGGUCUAGUGGCGCACGGGUGCGUAACGCGUGGGAAUCUGCCCUUUGGUCCGGAAUAACAGCUGGAACCGACUGAUAAUACCGGAUGAUGACGAAAGUUCACAGAUUUCACGCCAGGAGAUGAGCCCGCGUAGGGUUAGCUAGUUGGUUUGGUACAGGCGUAACAAGGCGACGAUCCUUAGCUGGUCUGAGAGGAUGAUCGGCCACACUGGGACUGAGACACGGCCCAGACUCCUACGGGAGGCAGCAGUGGGGAAUAUUGGACAAUGGGCGAAAGCCUGAUCCAGCAAUGCCGCGUGAGUGAUGAAGGCCUUAGGGUUGUAAAGCUCCUUUACCCGGGAUGAUAAUGACAGUACCGGGAGAAUAAGCUCCGGCUAACUCCGUGCCAGCAGCCGCCGUAA
rnacentral:rRNA from 1 species